AUGGAGUCACACGCCGUUCCUAGCGAGCAGCCCGCGUACAAGCCGCUGCCAUCCACCGCCAACGAGGACGCCCAUGAGCACCAGGGCGGCGGCGUGAGGUGGCGCGCGUGCGCUGCCGUGCUGGCGGCCUCGGCCGUGGUGCUCGUCGCCGCCACCACGCUAGGAAGAGGAGCCAGGGUGGACGAGGACGCCGGCGGGUUCCCGUGGAGCAACGAGAUGCUGCAGUGGCAGCGAGCCGCGUUCCAUUUCCAGCCGGAGAAGAACUUCAUGAGCGAUCCCAACGGUCUGGUAUACUACCGUGGAUGGUACCACCUGUUCUACCAGUACAACCCGAAGGGCAUCGCCUGGGCCUUUGGCAUUUUGUGGGGCCAUGCCGCGUCCCGAGACCUCGUCCACUGGCGCCAACUCCCAUUGGCUGUGCUUCCUGACCAGUGGUAUGACAUUCAAGGUGUCUUGUCAGGCAGCAUCACUGUGCUUCCUAACGGCACGCUCAUCAUGCUCUACACUGGUGCCACCAAUGUCUCCACCGUCGAGGUCCAGUGUGUUGCCGUGCCCGAAGACCCAAACGACCCCCUCCUCCGCCGCUGGACCAAGCACCCCGCUAACCCCGUCCUCUCCUCGCCACCGUGGAUCAGCACCAACGACUUCCGAGACCCCACCUCCGCGUGGUAUGAUGGCUCUGAUCACACAUGGCGCACCGUCCUCGGGUCCAAGGAUGAUCACAAUGGUCACCAUGCCGGCAUCGCCUUCAUGUACAAGACUAAGGACUUCCUUCACUAUGAGCUCGUCCCUGGCAUCUUGCACCGCGUCGAGAACACCGGCGAGUGGGAGUGCAUCGACUUCUACCCAGUCGGUGGCGACGACAACUCAUCACAAGUGUUAUACGUGCUCAAGGCGAGCAUGGACGACGAACGACAUGACUACUACUCGCUGGGGAGGUAUGACGCGGCGGCAAACACGUGGACGCCAGUGGACCCCGAGGCCGACUUGGGGAUCGGGCUGAGGUACGACUGGGGCAAGCUUUAUGCAUCCAGCUCAUUCUAUGAUCCGGUGAAGCGGCGGCGCAUUAUGAUGGGUUAUGUCGGUGAGGUCGACUCCGUGCAGGCCGACGUCGCCAAAGGAUGGGCCUCAAUCCAGUCAGUUCCAAGGACGGUGGCUCUGGAUGACAAAACCAGGACAAACCUCCUCUUAUGGCAUGUGGAGGAGAUCGAGACCCUUCGCCUCAAUGCCACCGAACUAAGCGACAUCACCAUCGAAACUGGCUCUGUCUUCCAUGUCCCUCUCCGCCAAGCUGAUCAACUCGACAUCGAGGCCUCCUUCCGCCUUGACGCUUCUGCUAUCACUGCCCUCAAUGAGGCCGACAUCGGCUACAACUGCAGCAGCAGCGGUGGUGCUGCCUCCCGCGGUGCGCUUGGCCCCUUUGGCCUCAUCGUCCUCGCAUCCAGCGACCGUUGUGGUGAGCAGACGGCGGUGUACUUCUAUGUGUCCAGGGGCCUCGACGGGGCCCUUCAGACCAGUUUUUGCCAAGACGAGUCACGUUCUUCACGAGCCAGGGACGUGACGAAGCGGGUGGUGGGAAGCACGGUACCAGUGCUAGAUGGUGAGGCUUUGUCGAUGAGGGUGCUUGUGGACCACUCCAUUGUGCAGAGCUUUGCGAUGGGCGGGAGGUGCACAGUGACAUCACGGGUGUAUCCUAUGGAGGCGAUCUAUGAGGCGGCAGGGGUGUACCUGUUCAACAAUGCCACCAACAGCAGUGUGAUGGCGGAAAGACUUGUCGUGCACGAGAUGGACUCCGCACCCAACGAGAUCAUCACGGAUGAUAAAUAUUUGCAUUUUGAAUGA
rnacentral:rRNA from 1 species